GACGAACGCUGGCGGCGUGCCUAAUACAUGCAAGUAGAACGCUGAAGGAGGAGCUUGCUUCUCUGGAUGAGUUGCGAACGGGUGAGUAACGCGUAGGUAACCUGCCUGGUAGCGGGGGAUAACUAUUGGAAACGAUAGCUAAUACCGCAUAAGAGUAGAUGUUGCAUGACAUUUGCUUAAAAGGUGCAAUUGCAUCACUACCAGAUGGACCUGCGUUGUAUUAGCUAGUUGGUGGGGUAACGGCUUACCAAGGCGACGAUACAUAGCCGACCUGAGAGGGUGAACGGCCACACUGGGACUGAGACACGGCCCAGACUCCUACGGGAGGCAGCAGUAGGGAAUCUUCGGCAAUGGACGGAAGUCUGACCGAGCAACGCCGCGUGAGUGAAGAAGGUUUUCGGAUCGUAAAGCUCUGUUGUAAGAGAAGAACGAGUGUGAGAGUGGAAAGUUCACACUGUGACGGUAUCUUACCAGAAAGGGACGGCUAACUACGUG
rnacentral:rRNA from 1 species